AUUGAACGCUGGCGGCAUGCUUUACACAUGCAAGUCGAACGGUAACAGGCCGCAAGGUGCUGACGAGUGGCGCACGGGUGAGUAAUGCAUCGGAACGUGCCCAGUCGUGGGGGAUAACUACUCGAAAGAGUAGCUAAUACCGCAUACGAUCUAUGGAUGAAAGCGGGGACCGUAAGGCCUCGCUCGAUUGGAGCGGGCGAUGUCGGAUUAGGUAGUUGGUGGGGUAAAGGCUCACCAGGCCAACGAUCUGUAGCUGGUCUGAGAGGACGACCAGCCACACUGGAACUGAGACACGGCCCAGACUCCUACGGGAGGCAGCAGUGGGGAAUUUUGGACAAUGGGCGCAAGCCUGAUCCAGCAAUGCCGCGUGCAGGAAGAAGGCCUUCGGGUUGUAAACUGCUUUUGUACGGAACGAAACGGCUCUGGUUAAUACCCGGGGCUAAUGACGGUACCGGAAGAAUAAGCACCGGCUAACUACGUG
rnacentral:rRNA from 1 species